rnacentral:rRNA from 1 species
GUCUUUUUGUAUUUAUAAAAAGUCUAACCUGCCCACUGAAAAUUUAAAUGGCCGCAGUAUUUUAACUGUGCAAAGGUAGCAUAAUCAUUAGUUUUUUAAUUGAAAACUAGAAUGAAUGGUUGGACGAAAAAUUAACUGUUUCAUAAAAAUUUAUAGAAUUUUAUUUUUUAGUAAAAAAGCUAAAAUUAAUAUAAAAGACGAGAAGACCCUAUAAAUCUUUAUAAUUAAUAUUUAUUAAAGUUUUAUUGAUUUAUUUUAUUUUAUUAAAUUAUAUUAUUUUAUUGGGGUGAUAUUAAAAUUUAAAAAACUUUUAAUAUAUUUAAGUUCAUUAAUUUAUGAUUUAUUGAUCCAUUAUUAUUGAUUAAAAGACAAAGUUACUUUAGGGAUAACAGCGUUAUUUUUUUGAAGAGUUCAUAUCGAUAAAAAAGAUUGCGACCUCGAUGUUGGAUUAAGAUAAAUUUUAGGUGUAGUUGCUUAAAUUUUAAGUCUGUUCGACUUUUAAAUUCUUACAUGAUCUGAGUUCAAACCGG